rnacentral:lncRNA from 1 species
CAUGGCCAACUAUUGUCCUCAGUGUAAGCCAGUACGAGUUAUCGCGCAUGAUUUUGAUUUCUUAUCCGUCUGAUUAGUCUUUUCUGUGUGUGAUAUCUUAUCAAGACAACAUGCUGAGUUUGUAAAGACAAUGUUGACACUCGUAAAUAAUUUGACUACCCUAAGUAAACAAUAUUAUAAAUAUAUGACACUGUAGCAUGCUAGGUUCCGCGGC